UACGUAGGGUGCGAGCGUUAAUCGGAAUUACUGGGCGUAAAGCGUGCGCAGGCUGUUUUGUAAGUCAGAUGUGAAAUCCCCGAGCUUAACUUGGGAACUGCGUUUGAAACUACAAGACUAGAAUAUGUCAGAGGGGGGUAGAAUUCCACGUGUAGCAGUGAAAUGCGUAGAGAUGUGGAGGAAUAUCAAUGGCGAAGGCAGCCCCCUGGGAUAAUAUUGACGCUCAUGCACGAAAGCGUGGGGAGCAAACAGG
rnacentral:rRNA from 1 species